ACCAUCACGCCGCGUGAGGGACGAAGGCUUUCUGAGUUGUAAACCUCUUUCGGUAGGAACGAUUGUGACGGUACCUACAGAAGAAGCACCGGCCAACUAUGUGCCAGCAGCCGCGGUGAUACAUAGGGUGCAAGCGUUAUUCGGAUUUAUUGGGCGUAAAGAGCUCGUAGGCGGUUCGAUCAGUCGGGUGUGAAACCCCCAGGCUUAACCUGGGGCAGCCACUCGAAACUGUCGUGACUAGAGUUUGGUAGGGGAUCACGGAAUUCCUGGUGUAGCGGUGGAAUGCGCAGAUAUCAGGAGGAACACCAGCAGCGAAGGCGGUGAUCUGGGCCAAUACUGACGCUGAGGAGCGAAAGCGUGGGGAGCGAACAGGAUUAGAUACCCUGGUAGUCCACGCCGUAAACGGUGGGCACUAGGUGUGGGGACUUUUCAACGGUUUCCGCGCCGCAGCUAACGCAUUAAGUGCCCCGCCUGGGGAGUACGGNCGCAAGGCUAAAACUCAAAGAAAUUGACGGGGGCCCGCACAAGCGGCGGAGCAUGCGGCUUAAUUCGAUGCAACGCGAAAAACUUUACUAGGUUUUGACAUGUAGGGCAAAUUCUUAGAGAUUUGGGGUGCUCCGGCGUUCUACACAGGUGGUGGAUGGGUGUCGUCCGCUCGUGUU
rnacentral:rRNA from 1 species